UUGACGGGGCCCGCACAAGCGGUGGAGCAUGUGGUUUAAUUCGACGCAACGCGAAGAACCUUACCAGGGCUUGACAUCCCCUGACCGCGUAUGAAGUACGUUUUCACCCUCGGGUGACAGGGAGACAGGUGCUGCAUGGCUGUCGUCAGCUCGUGUCGUGAGAUGUUGGGUUAAGUCCCGCAACGAGCGCAACCCUUGUCUUUAGUUACCAUCAUUAAGUUGGGGACUCUAGAGAGACUGCCGGUGAUAAACCGGAGGAAGGUGGGAUGACGUCAAAUCAUCAUGCCCCUUAUGGCCUGGGCUACAAACGUAAUACAAUGGCGUAUACAAAGGGAUGCGAAAGGGCGACCUGGAGCAAAACUCACAAAGUACGUCUCAGUUCAGAUUGGAGUCUGCAACUCGACUCCAUGAAGGCGGAAUCGCUAGUAAUCGCGGAUCAGCAUGCCGCGGUGAAUACGUUCUCGGGGUCU
rnacentral:rRNA from 1 species